CUAAUUUAACCGUUCUAUUUGAUUUAUUUUAUUAUUUUUAUUAAAUUGUGGUUUUAUUAUAUAGAACGCAUUUCUUAUUAACCGUUCUAUUUGAUAUGUCCAUAUUUUACACUUGCAAUAUAAAUCGCCCCACUUAAUUACCCGUUCUAUAUGUUUAAUAUUAUUUUUUGAAAAAUAAAAAAGAAAUAAAAAAAUCUAACAUAUGUUACAUAUCAAAAGCCCAAAAUUCUAACCCUAACUCCACAGCCGUCAUUCACUCAUUCUCCAUAACUUCCCCUCUUUAUUCCCCUUCUCUCAUUUCUUCCCUUUUGUGAAAUCCUUACUUCUUUCCCUGCACCUUCAUCCUUCAAUGUUCUUAAAACUCCGAGAUGAUGUCCAAUUAAUCUGCUAUCCGUCGUCUUCUUCCUCCAGUUUAAGUAAGUCCUCGAAACACAACCUAUCAGCAUCAAUAAUCAUAUACUAGCUACGACUAAAGAUUACAAUUCACUCCUUCAAAAAUAUUAGCCAACUGAUAAAAUUUGGAGUGGUGGAAUUCAUCUUACUCCUCUUAGAAUACGAAUGAAAUCAAAUAAAGCUCCCGCUGAAUCUUUGUUUUUCUCUGUUUAUGGUAACAAGUUGUUGCGGGUUGAUUGGUGUUUAACAUUAUAGAGUAUUGAUGGAGGCGCUGCGGUAGUGCGGUGGUUGAGCGAGGUUGGUAGAGGCACUGCGGUGGUUGAAGCUGGUGGAAGCGCUACGGUGGUUGAAGCUGGUGGAAGCGCUACGGUGGUUGAAGCGGGUGGAAGCGCUACUGGUCGUUCGGGUUGGUGGGAACGCCGCUGGUGGUUCAGGUUGGUGGAAGCGUCGCGGUUGAAUUAGAUUACUGAGGUGGUUUUGAAUGUCAAUAACAAUUCAAGUAGGUGCUCUUCUGAAAUUGGUAGCAGUAGCACAUUGAUAAUUAUUAAGUUAGGUUAGAGAAUUGUAUCAAAAUUCACAAUGUAUUUGAGAUGUAAUUAAUUGAUUAUAAAGGACGAUAAAUUUUGUUUUAA